AGGGCAGGGACGCAGCCGGAGGGGCGGGGCGGCGGAGACUAACCCAACGGAGGCGCGCGGGUGGGGCCCGCACCGGAUGGAGCCGGAACUGAGAGUGGGCCGCCGAGUGGAGCGCCUUUUCCCCCUUUGCCUGGGGCUGCAAGAAAGGUGGGAACUUCCGUUGCCACUCGGACUCCUCAGGCCCUGAAGAGAAAUGGAGACAUCCUCUUCUAGGGCAUCCUGCCCUCUAGGGCCCUGGCUGAUUCCUAGGCCGCAAACAUUUCCCCUUCAACAAAAGCAGGAGAUAAAACUCCCAUCUGAAAGGUGCACCUCCCUAUGCCAGGAGGAAGGAAGACAUUCUUACCACCAGAAAUGAGGACUCAAGGCCAAGAUAAAUCUGUACAAAAAACCUUAUUAAACUAACUUUUAUCUUCCUA